GCAGACUGACUCCGGAUCAAAAGCUGGAAUCCAGACAUCUCUCCCCUUGUGCAACCCAGACAUACUACUGGAUUAAAAAGAAAAGGUCACCACCAACAUCCUCCAGGAUAUUCCAACAAGUGGUUGCCUAGUUUACAAACUAGACAGCAAACUUUGCAUUGCAGUAUGAAAACAAGAUCCCACUUUGCAAAAUAGAGAACAUGGCCCCUUCAAAUCUUUGUCCUAAAGGGAGGAGGUGCUGAUUGUUCCAGAAGAGGAAGUGCUUUUUUGGGGAAGGCCCUCACAAAAUGAAGCAGCCGAGAACCUGUCCAAAGCCAGGGAGGGACAG